UUGAUAUGACCGACAACACUGUAUAAAAAGAGAAGCAAAUGGAAAGCACAGUCCCGCUCACCUGCGCGAUGGAAUUCAUGGGACACACUUUUGGGACGAUGAUCAAGACAUUGAACAUCCUAUAGUUCUUAGCAAUGGAAAUAUGGAGUCCCAAAGCCCUCAUCCUUUAUCCUUUUAAAGAAUGAACUGUCUGUAUCUCAAGGCUACAUGUCAUAACCCCAUAGGUGCUGCACUACUGGGAAAGUUGAACAAUGCAUUAGCCUCUGGACUCUUUGCUGCUUCUUCUGUUGCUUUUCGUAUUCGAACCAGGCACAGGGUUCGAAGCAAAUACAGGUAUAGCUUCUCCCUAAAUGAGAGAGAGAGACAUAGGGGAAACCAAAAUAGUUAAGAACUACCAACUUGCUUCAAUGGGGAAGCUCCAUUUCUGAUGCAGGUUAGUGAACUUCCAGUUGUCCCGACCAAAUUCAAGAUUACCACUGCAAACUAUAAACGUAUAAAUCGAGUUCAUGUUGUUGGGUGUGGGACUCUUUUAGCUAUAUAUGUCAAGGACUCAAGGUAACACAAACUCAAACAAGAAUGUCCAAAUUUGAUACCUAAAGAUGGAGCGUAUUGUCAUUUAUUUAGGGCAACCUCAGUGAGCCAUUUAUAUGCUGGCUAUCCAUGUUAAGCGGGAUGCUAAUAAGGCUGCACAUGCAGUAGCCUCUUAUGCUGCUACUAAUAAUCAGGAAUUUUCCUGGUCAAUUGUUCCCAAUUUCAUGAGUCCUAUAAUUGCAUCAGAACUAUGUACUUCGUAAUUUUCUAGUUUCAAUAAAAGAUCUGACCUCCUUCACCUCCAAAAAAAAAGCUAGCUUAGCUAUCAAUAUGUACCGGCCUUCCCAAAAAUACUACCUAUAGCUUUGUAGGGUAAACACUCGUGGGCAAGGACAAUCUCACAUGCACACCAUUCAUCAACAGUAUCAUUGGUUAAAUCAAUCAUGCAGGUUGGCAUGUCCUUAAAACUUGUGAAUAAGGUUGCCUGGAGUGUGUCUGAUGCAGCUGGCUUCUAAAAAAAGAUAGUUUAUUCUUAUUUUUUUAAAUAAAAUAACGGACUUUUUAUAAGUAUUGUUAAUGCUUGAAACUAGUUUUCCGAAGGGACCAAAUUUUUCAAAUCGCCCAAUAUUUACUAAAUUUUAAAUUAAAUGUGAAUAUAUUAAUGCACAAUUAUACCAUAUAUAAAAAUAUAAUUUUACCAUAAUUAUACACAAUUAUAUCAUAAUUAUACACAAUUUUACCAUAAUUAUAAUAAUUUAAUUAUAAUUACACAAUAAUUAAAAAGAAUUUUUUGAAUUGCCGUGAGGCCAAAGCCUCUUAUGGCAUCUUAUCCGCCAUUAAAAGCAAUAACUAAGGGUGAUUUUGACCCCGAUGUGAGUUUUUUUAUAAUCAAAUUCAGCUGUUAUAUGAGAAUAAUCAGCUGCAAUUAUGUUGUGAAAAUAAGCAGCUAUGAGUGUUGAAGUGUUUGGUGAAUAUUGAUAUAGAGGUGUGGUGAGUUUAGAUAAAUAUUUUAAAAUUUCAUGAAAAUUAAAUAGUAUGAGGCUUUAAGGGAGAUUAGAUAAAUGUAAUGAAGUAAAAGGUGAAAAUAAUCUCAGCUUCUAUAAUCAAAGCAAAAAAAACCUAACUUCUAAAUUAUGCAUUUGGGAGAAUGAGAUUCAAUUAUAAUUAGCAACAAUUUUGUUCACCAAACACUUCACUCAGCGAUCCUACUCAUAAUCAUGUACAUGUAGAGAAAGAGAGAAUAUGGCUUUGAGGAAAAAUUAGGUUUGGCGUCCUUGUCCGUCGGCUUCCCUUUCACCUCUGUCGGCCCCGUGUGGGUCUAUGUUGUACCAGGACUCUUCAAGUAGUGUCCCUGUGGAGUUUUUGGUGGAAGAGUGUGGGGGUGAGGAAGGGUGAUAGUAUUGUGGUGCUUGGGCCUUGGUUUGCUUGUCAUUGGCCCUGUCGGCGAGGAGAAUCAACGUCGCGAAUCCGACUACUGUUGGGUGGUGGUGAGAUCAGGGUGGAGUGGCGCCUCUAUGAUCGAAUUGAUUCGAUUUAUGACUGAUCUCUAUGGUCAGAUCUAAGGACGAUGCUAAUUCGCAGAGGUAAUGAGAUUGACAGUUUGAUGGGGAUGGUAGUUCAACAAUGCUGGUUGGACGACGUGAGUGAGAAGCUGACGGCAGCGGUUGGCGAAAAGUUGAGUUAAGUUUUGGCUCACAAUAUGUGUCGCAUUUGCUUCCUGAAAUAAGACCUAGGCAUGGGCUCUCUUUUUUUGGCUCAGCCUCGGCUGGUUUAUUUCUUUGUUUCUUUGUUUUUUGUUUGUUUAUUUAUUGGGUUAUUGUCAUGUGUAAUAAGUCCUUGUACCUAUGCUACAGGACCAGUCGGGUUGUAUGUAUGUGGGUGCACUUUUUUGUGCCUUGUCUGCUCACAAUAUGUGUCGCCCUUGCUCCCCGAAAUAAGACCUGGACAUCGGCUCCUUUUUUUGGGCUCAACUUGGGCUGGUUUAUUUCUCUGUUGCUUUGUUUUUUAUUUUGUUUAUUUAAUUGGGUUAUUGUCAUGUGUAAUAAGUCCUUGUAACUAUGCUACAUGGCAAGUCGGGUUGUAUGUUUGUGAGUGCACUUUUUGUCAUUUUGUGCCUUUUAUGCUCUAGGUAUGCAGCGAGUUCAUUGUUUUGUAAAAUGGUUUUUGCUGUCUAGUGGCAGGGUGAUACUAAGUGUCGUCGGAUCUAUUUUCCGGCAGCAACAUAGUUGAAGAGUUGUAUAAUUAGACAUUAGGUUAUGCACUCGUGUUAUAUAUGUACCAAUUUCUCCAUUAUGUCACCGCAUUUGUAAAGCAAAUAGUGACACCAUAAGAGCGGUACUCUUUGCUAGUUAGUGUUUUGUUAAGUAUCUAUUUGUAGAGAUUUAUUAUAUUAUUUCAGGUUUUUGUAAUCAGGGGUUUAGACUUCACGUCUCUUAUUAUAUUCGACAGUUUUAUUAAUGAAGACUUAAGGAUAAUCGCACUAACCUUACUUAAAAAAAAGCACAUAACUCAACUUAUUUCAUGAGAUAAACCCAUAAUCUCUUAAAAAAAUCUUGAUGCCAAAUUAGGUCUAAGUAUUUGAUAAAAUUGAAAUUGACUUGUGUUUUUUAUUGGUAGGAUGAGCAAUUUAGACAUGAAAGUAUUUUUGUUAUG